UACAGGAGGGUGCGAGCGUUGUCCGGAAUCACUGGGCGUAAAGGGCGCGUAGGUGGCGACCCAAGUCGAUGGUGAAAGCUCGCCGCUCAACGGCGAGUCGGCCACCGAUACUGGGUUGCUGGAGCACUGUAGAGGCUCAUGGAAUUCCGGGUGGUAGCGGUGGAAUGACGGUAGAGAGUCCGGAAGAACGACCGGUGGCGAAGGCGGUGAGCUGGG
rnacentral:rRNA from 1 species